rnacentral:rRNA from 1 species
AGGGUUUGAUUAUGGCUCAGAACGUACGCUGGCGGCACGCCUAACACAUGCAAGUCGAACGAAGUAGCAAUACUUAGCGGCAGACGGGUGAGUAACAUGUAGGUAUCUGCCCUUUGGCCUGGAAUAACACGAGGAAACUUGUGCUAAUACCGGAUAAGUCUUUACGGAGAAAGCUUUAUGCACCAUUGGAUGAGCCUGCACUGGAUUAGUUUGUUGGUAGGGUAAUGGCCUACCAAGACUGUGAUCAAUAGCUGAUUUGAGAGGAUGAUCAGCCACAUUGGGACUGAGACACGGCCCAAACUCCUACGGGAGGCAGCAGUGGGGAAUCUUGCACAAUGGAGGAAACUCUGAUGCAGCGAUGCCGCGUGAGUGAAGAAGGCCCUUGGGUUGUAAAGCUCUUUCGUCGGGGAAGAAAAUGACUGUACCCGAAUAAGAAGGUCCGGCUAACUUCGUGCCAGCAGCCGCGGUAAUACGAAGGGACCUAGCGUAGUUCGGAAUUACUGGGCUUAAAGAGUUCGUAGGUGGUUGAAAAAGUUGGUGGUGAAAUCCCAGAGCUUAACUCUGGAACUGCCAUCAAAACUUUUCAGCUUGAGUUUGAUAGAGGAAAGCAGAAUUUCUAGUGUAGGAGGUGAAAGUUCGUAGAUAUUAGAAAGAAUACCAAUUGCGAAGGCAGCUUUCUGGAUCAUUACUGACACUGAGAACGAAAGCAUGGGUAGCGAAGAGGAUUAGAUACCCUCGUAGUCCAUGCCGUAAACGAUGUGUGUUAGACGUUGGAAAUUUAUUUUCAGUGUCGCAGCGAAAGCGAUAAACACACCGCCUGGGGAGUACGACCGCAAGGUUAAAACUCAAAUGAAUUGACGGGGGCCCGCACAAGUAGUGGAGCACGUGGUUUAAUUCGAAGAUACGCGCAGAACCUUACCAACACUUGACAUGUUCGUCGCGACUUUAAGAGAUUAAAGUUUUCGGUUCGGCCGGACGAAACACAGGUGCUGCAUGGCUGUCGUCAGCUCGUGUCGUGAGAUGUUGGGUUAAGUCCCGCAACGAGCGCAACCCUCACUUUUAGUUGCCAUCAUUUAGUUGGGCACUCUGAAAGAACUGCCAGUGAUAAGCUGGAGGAAGGUGAGGAUGACGUCAAGUCCUCAUGGCCCUUACGUGUUGGGCUACACACGUGCUACAAUGGUAUCUACAACAGGAAGCAAGACGGCGACGUUAAGCAAAUCCUUAAAAGAUACCUCAGUUCGGAUUGCACUCUGCAACUCGAGUGCAUGAAGCUGGAAUUACUAGUAAUCGUGGAUCAGCGUGCCACGGUGAAUGCGUUCCCGGGUCUUGUACACACCGCCCGUCACACCAUGGGAGUUGGUUCUACCUUAAGGCAAGGUUUAAUACCCUUGACCACGGUAUAGUCAGCGACUGGGGUGAAGUCGUAACAAGGUAACC